UGUGUUCUGUUUUUCCCACCAUACAAAAUUCUCACUGAUAAGAAAAAGCAUCUUCAGUGGAACAGGAGGUGUUCAGCUGUUGAAGAAGGUGCUGGCUCUCUCAGGGAACACAGUGUGCCAUUGGGUUUUUAAUUAGCAGACAAGGUUAGUUGUUCUGUAUUUUGACACCCUGAGUAAUCACAAAAAGAGACCUGCUGCUUUGUGGCUGUGUCAGUUCCAAAUGAGAGGAAGAAGUGUGUUUCAGUGAGAUAACAGCACACCUGGCUGACAUAGGAAGAUCUUCUCUAAUCAAGGGUGGCUUCCAGAAUCGUAUG